rnacentral:rRNA from 1 species
GACGAACGCUGGCGGCGUGCCUAAUACAUGCAAGUCGAGCGCAGGAAACUGACGGAACUCUUCGGAGGGAAGGCAGUGGAAUGAGCGGCGGACGGGUGAGUAACACGUAAGGAACCUGCCUCAAGGAUUGGGAUAACUCCGAGAAAUCGGAGCUAAUACCGGAUAGUUCAACGGACCGCAUGGUCCGGUGAUGAAAGGCGCUCCGGCGUCACCUUGAGCUGGCCUUGCGGUGCAUUAGCUAGUUGGUGGGGGAACGGCUCACCAAGGCGACGAUGCAUAGCCGACCUGAGAGGGUGAUCGGCCACACUGGGACUGAGACACGGCCCAGACUCCUACGGGAGGCAGCAGUAGGGAAUCUUCCACAAUGGACGAAAGUCUGAUGGAGCAACGCCGCGUGAGUGAUGAAGGUUUUCGGAUCGUAAAACUCUGUUGUAAGGGAAGAACACGUACGAGAGGAAAUGCUCGUACCUUGACGGUACCUUACGAGAAAGCCACGGCUAACUACGUGCCAGCAGCCGCGGUAA